GUUCUGUACUUGGCUAAUCACACAGCCAGCCCAUACAUGUGGUGCUGAAUGCUCUAAGAAAAUUCCUGAGCUGGGUGGUGGUGGAGCACACCUUUAGCUAUGCUUUUAAGCACUCAGGAGGCGGAGGCAGGUGGAUUUCUGUGAGUUCGAGGCCAGCCUGGUUUACAGAGUGAGUUCCAGGACAGCCAGGGCUAUACAGAGAAAACCUGUCUCAAAAAAGCAAAAGAGAGAUAGCAAUAGAGUUAAUUAGAUAGAUAGAUAGAUAGAUAGAUAGAUAGAUAGAUAGAUAGGUAGAUAGAUUAUCCUGCCAUGUACAGUAUAAUCCAUACAUGGAUCCAGGAGGCAGAGGCAGGAGGAUAGUGAGUUUGACUCACUCAGUGGUCCUAUAGAAAAAGAGGCUACACACACCUGCCCCAUCCCCAUGUCCACAGCUCAUGUCCUGUGAGGACAACAUUGAUAGCUGUAUUUGCAUACAAACUAGGAUCAAUAGUGAUGACGUAGACAGAAACUGUGGGUCCUACGGUCACAAGUACCUUCCCAGACAUGCUUACACUUGUCCUCAGAAGCCACGAGACAAACAGACACGGCUGAGCCAUACAUUUAAGGAAUCUUUUAAAGCCAAGGACUCCGAGCCUCCCAGCCAGGCUCUGGCCCUCCUGAUGUUGCUGACCUCCUGAGCAGGUAGAGAUAAAGAGUGCUGGGUAAUACAUCAGCCUGAUGGUUUCUUCAGACAGGCUGUCUUCAGGGCUCUAGAAGCCCAUACAGAAUAGAGCAGUUAGGAAGCAAGAUGAAGGCCGCAUGCACAAAGCCCUGGGUUUGAUCCCCAGACCCCCAUGAAUCAGACAUGGUGGUAAACACCUGCAAUCCUAGCAAUCAGGAGGUGAAAACAGGAGGAUUAAAGUGUCCAAGGUCAUCCUUGGCUACAUAAUACAUUCAAGACCAGACACAGCAACACAAGACCCUGCCUCCAGAAAAAAAGCAAUCUAACCCUGGCCAGGCCCCAUCAAGAUGCAAGGGUUGUGAGAGAAAGAUGGGUGGUGGCCACGGACAGAGUCUACGGACCAGGAAAUCGUGAGAAACACCGUGGACUUCAUGGGGUCUCCCGGUGGAGAAUUCUGAAGAUUGGUGCACCUUUCACUCCCAGACCACAGCCUCCCCAGUUCAUCCCAGCCAAGGAUGGAAGGGUCCCUCCCUACAUCGACAACAAGAGCCCACGGCUUCUCUCUCACCUGCGUAGGACAGCCGGUCACCAUGUUUGCUCUUUUUGAUGGAGGCUUGGGAAGGUAUGUCUAUGUCUUUAUGUCGUUUCCCCAC
rnacentral:lncRNA from 1 species